rnacentral:lncRNA from 1 species
AAGUAUUUUUCAGUUACAAUAACGGGUUUUUUACAUUGUACAGUGUCUAUUUCUCAGUAACUUUUAAAAAAUCUAAGCAAAAAAGUCAAACAAACAACUUUUAGGUACAAAUACGACCAUCUACCGAGUUUGGUCCGCCAUCUUUUUUAUAUAUAUUCGCGCGCUUUAGACUGAGCUUGAACGCAAGAUCUGAUUGGCUAGCGCCUGUGCUGUCAGUUAUGCAUGAAAGGCAAUUUAAUUGGCUGACGCAUGCUUUGCCUCAAAUUUAAAUUUUGUGAGCAAUGAAAGUUUGCAUUUAAAAAAGAAAUGGCUUUGAGUGGACUUUUAAGACCUCCUUCUUUUUUUGCAGGUUAAAGAUAAAGAGCACUUAUGCAGGUGUGGAAUAGCUGAUAUGUCAGUCAGUGGUAACAAAAGAACACGGCUGAAUCCAGAUGGCGAACCACCUGCAAAAAGCCUUAAAAAAAACAACGAGGAGUGAGACAAACUUCCUGCCCAAUUUUCCACCGGGCCAGGAUGCAUCCGCAUUGGAAAACAACAGACAGUUGCUUGAAGAUGAAAUGAAGAAAAGGACACCAAAUGCAGCACUUGUGAAUCAGCUGAUGAACCAGACCUUCUCACUGAGACGCAAAGAAAUCGUCGAAGAGCAGCCUCCUGUGAAACGCAUGUUGGAACGCUGGCCAGCGCUUUUCAGAAAACAGCAGGUAUAUUAAUAAAUGUAUUCAAUUUCGGUGAAAUAAAACAUACAGAUCAGAUAAACAAGCAUGUUGUCUCUAUCAAAAUAUUGUGGUCAUCUCAAUGUAUUGCUGUGUUUGUUUUGUGUUCUCUUCUUAAAGGUUUUUGCAGAGUUCACUAGGGUGGCAAGUAAAGAUCUUGAACGGGACUUUUUUGAGUCCUUGGACCGUCACAUCCCUCGAUUUCUCGAGAUCUUUAAGUCCAAGAAGGGUGUUAUUGGCAGGACACUUGCAGAGCUCCUUACUCAAGCUGAAAUGAAGACCCAUGAUGUUGUGGCAAGGCGGACAGCUGUCCUACGCUGUCUUGCAGUUUUUCUUGGGGAUGAUGGGAGUGAUUGUUUUGUAAGUAUUACAUAAAAUCAUAUAAUGUUUUUUACACAGUUAAGUCAUGAAGGCCUUUUCAACAGCAAGGAUAAACUCCUAUUUAUAACCUUCCUUUUGUCUGCAGGAUUCAGAUUCCAUUACGGAUUUCACCGAGAUUCCUGUUGGGGUAUUAACCGUCAUACCCGAAGACAGUCCACAGCCAAGUCAAAAUGCCCUGCACCUUGAGCCAUCCAGCAUUGCGAUCAUACUGGAAGGUAACAUCGUAAUGGAUGACCUUCAAAAUCAUACUGAAGCUAUUUGCUUGACUUUUGGACUUAUCUACAACCUUCAUUUGGACUAUCCCAGAAGAUUGAAGAACACUUUUGACUUCAUUCAGAGGGUCAUGCUGGAUCUGGGUGUAGGGAACUGUAGCGAAGGGAGAGCAGGGUCACCCUACCCGGACUCGAACCCAGGUCUACAGGGUGCCAAACAUGCGCUCUGACCGCCACACCAAAGAGCCCGGCUCAAUGGCAUGGCAGCCAGAGAGCAUAUUCAACCGUAGGGACGAUCACAUCGUCACAGGAACCUUAGGCCAAAACUCCAGAGCUUAAAAAAUGCCCUUUUGCAGUAGGUUGUUCGGAGUUGCUUGAACACACUGAAUUGUUGUACUUUCACGUAAUAUAUAUUAAGCCAGAAUGGCCAGUUAUGUGUCACAAUUAAUGUCGCCUUAAGAGUGAAUGUUUUGUUUGCCAAAAUUGUAUAUAUAUAUAUAUAUAUAUAUAUAUGUGUGUGCUUCCACAAUUUU